rnacentral:lncRNA from 1 species
AUGCAUGCACAUGGAAGGGUGGACGUCACGGUUACCCUCGCAGGGACGACUAUGCCAACAACUGUUUGCGCAUUAACUAAUUAAUAGCACAGGUGAGGAUGAUAUAUUUUUUUCUUUAUCAGUAGUCAUAUUUGUUCAGAUUAAGAUCCACAUGUAAACAUUCCCACACGUUGUGUCAUAUAGAACUAGCCUAAAGGGAUUAUGAUUGAUCUUCUAAGCUAGGUGGUAUUAAAAAAGUGUUUCUCACCAAGGAAGGUAAUUAUAAUAAGCAUCAAGGACAUCACGAGUUUUUUUAAGAUGACCGAAAUAUAGUCAAAAGAUCAUGAUCUCACUAAACACAAUGGUCCUGGCUUAUAUAUUAUUUUUUAUGUUCUACUCAACUAGCAGGCAGUAGGUGACUUUGGAUUUCAUCAUGUUGUAGGCAAAUCUUGCUUUAUCUAAUGUAAGAAGAGGGUCAAAGUUUGUUCAACUAUGCGCACUUUUUUUUAACUAAGUAGUAAUACAUACAACAAAGGUUGCCAUCCACGAGCAUUGCCUCGAGUUGCUUGAUGUAUGUGGAGCAUUUGUUUGUAACAUAAUCCAAGGUACGUAUCUGAUGAAGGGGAAAUUGUAUGUACACGUUUUAUGUACCGGUAUAUAUGUGUUGUCUCAAACUAUAAAACAUGAUCAAUGAUAAUUUUUUCAUUAACAUUAAUGAAGUUGACAAACCAAAGAGAUCAUGCCCCAUUGAUAGAGGUGAGUGGAGUGGAGGUAUGUGGUGCACUUAGAGGGUGAAAUACAGGCUGAAAGUACAUCCAGGCAUGAGCUGAUUUGUAGCAAACAUACAGACUCUGUUGUUUUACACCGAGGGGAGAUACUCUUUGAUACUCUGCUUUGUGGCAAAGGGACAUAUCGUGUUACUUCUGUCCUAUUCUUGUAUGUCAAAGCUUAAUAACAAUUUAUUACACCCUUUGUUAUUUUUCAGUGGCGUAACUUCUUGAUGACACGUUUCUCGUGUGAAGGCCCUUACGUUUCAUCAAACGAUUUGUUUUAAGAAAAAAAAUAAAGCAUUCAUGUGCUACAUGUAUUGCUAAUUAGCUGCACAAUAAUGACUUGAUUGUGUACGACUCUAUUUUGUGCAUUUUAUCCUGUAAGGCUCUCCUUGCUUUCUUCUUAUUUUGUUCUGCAAAUGACAUAUUAGGUCCAAGCUAUUGUCUGAAUAAGUUAAAAAUUGGAUAGGAAUAGAACGUACAAGUUUAAAAUUCUCACAAAUAAACGAAGAAGACAUUCAUAUGAUACAUUGUUUUCUGAAAUUAUCAUGAUUAUAUAUCCUUGCGGUUACAGUGUUGUAGCCAAAGAUCGCUCAUUCAUGAUUUACUUCUAUCUUGCAUAUGGCUAAAGUCACACAUGUGUGCAAUCUUUUCCAUUCAUCAUACAAAAAUGCAUACAUCUUUUAUCUCCAUUUCAGAAGCAACGACAUUUGUAUGCUAAAAUUUAGCCAAAAUGCGUUCGCAGACAAACUAAGUGCCAUAUUCAAAUCCACUCGCACUUUUUUGCUUCAGGAAUGUGUCCUCCUUUAGUUUUUCUCAAAUUGUAUUCUUUUUUAAUAUUACUAUGACACUUGUGAUUUUCGACAUCCAUUAUGUCCAUACUAUAUGAGAUGAUGAAAACCUUAAAGGGACCGUGGCAACGCACGGGCAGUUAACUAGUAGUAUGAAAAAUAUAAAUGUACCUAUAUUAUAUGCUGGAUUAAUGUUGAUGGGGUUAUAGUCCUNCGACAACAAAGCUCCCUGGGCACUGAGACGUAGGGCUAUUACCUCCACCGCAGAGGGGCCUGAACUCAUACAUCCUCGCCGUAGCUAGGACUCUGCCUGUCCUUUUCGUACCCCAUACAUCUACUGUCAGGCUUAUACCCACGACAGUUGGCGCCCACCGUGGGGCAGGCGUCUAAGCGACUUCCGGCGAGUUUGCGACUACUUCCUUUCGUCAUGUCGUCCGACGGAGGUUCGAGCAUGGGUCGCCAGAUCUUCUUCGGCGCUCUCUCCUUCGUCGUCGACGAUUCGGCGUGGCUUCGGGAUGCCCCUCUCAACGUCGAGGCGCUUCCCAGUCGCCGGGCUAUGCACUUCCGUGUCGGCGCUCGCGGCAUCCUUCUUCUCCAACAGUCGACUCCGGUGUCGACCUGCACUGCCGCCAUGCGCCGUAGCAAGCGGUCCCGCCGUCCGCGGCUCCAGCGUUGGGUGCAGCAUGCCCAAGCGCGCCAGAAUGCGUCUUCGCAAGUGGCGGUUCUUGAGUCCGUUGUGGUUGCCCCGCCGUCCCAGCACUCGGACUCAGUUCCGACUGAGUAUCCUUCCGAGUAUGCAGAUCGCGGGCCUGCAGCAGAAGUACACAUGGCCAACUCCCAUGAAGAUCCCCGUCAAGUUGGCCGAAGCGAGCGCGAGGUCGGUGAAGCAUCCGGUGCGCGCCGUCCACCUCACCGUUCUGCCAGUCGGCACACUCGGCGGAGCAACGUGGAGUUGUUCCGCACACCUCUCCUCAACUUGGCUGCGGCUGCCAAGAUUGUCGAUUCCCUCCAGCCGACUGAUUCAGAGGCAGGAAGGGGGAUCGAGCAGAUCCGAGCCCUGUUGCACACGGCGCAGCAGCAGAAUUCGGCGGUCUCCCAGUCACACAACCAGAUCUAUAAUAGUUCCAUCCACGCGAAUACACAUCGGUCGGUUCACAGCCCUGGUUCCCAUCAGCUCCACAGAGGAGGCAGCCGUUCCAUGAUUCAUGAAGAUCGCCACCGUUCGCGCACCCCUCCGCGGGGUGGGCCCUAUGGGUCCUGACAUCAUGAUGAUCGGCGUUCAGUCAGCGACACUUACGACCCAAGACCCGACGCAAGGGGACGUAUCGCCCAGCGAAGAGUCGACAGGGGUCGAGCCCACCGCGAUGGUCACGAUAUGGACCGUCCAAGUGGGAGCAGGACCAUCGUGUCCGGUCCCGAGUGUUUUAGUCGAUCCAUCCGCUCGGCUGACAUCCCGCCCAACUUCCGAUUGGCAGCGGGAAACGGUAAAUUUACGGGAGAGUCCAAGCCAGAAACAUGGCUAGACGACUACCGAGUGGCAGUCCAGAUCGGAGGAGGGGACGACCACGUCGCCAUGAAGCACCUCCCUCUGCUGCUCGACGGCUCGGCGCGAGCGUGGCUGAAUCAACUAGCCCCCUCGAGCAUUUACAGUUGGGCGGAUCUGGCCCGAGUGUUCAUCCGGACCUUCAAAGGGACAUGCAAGCGCCCUGCGGGCCUCGUGGAGCUCCAGCACUGCGUCCAGAAGCCGAAUGAGCCCCUACGUGACUUCAUCCAGCGCUGGACGACUCUCUACCACACGGUGGAGAACGUCACCGAACAUCAAGAAGUCUGCGCAUUCAAGGCAGGCGUGAGGUACAGGGAGCUGUACCUGAAGUUUGGCCGAACAGGCGACAUCUCCAUGAGCAAGAUGAUGGAGAUAGCAGCUCGCUACGCAAAUGGCGAAGAAGAGGACUGUAUCCGAAGCAGCAAGCACAAGACAGUCGGCGACGGAGAAGGAAGCAACACUCGGAAGCAAAAGCAAAAAGCUCCAUCCACUCCGCAGGCAGAAGCUGCAGUCGUGACCAAUGCCAAGUUCAAAGGCAAAGGGAAGGCACAGUAUACCCCCAAGAAGAAGCCGUUCAAUAAUCCCAUCCUGGACCAACCAUGCCCGGUUCAUACGAAGAUGGACGAAGAGGGCAACCCCAUAUAUCCCAAGAAUACCACUCGGCAAUGCCGACUCCUGAUCCAGGGAUUCGGCGAAGGACAACCGAGUGAGAAGGUCAGCGAACAGGAUAAGGAGGAUCCGUUCCCCCAAGUCCAUGCGACACUCAUGAUUUUUGCUAACGUCGAAAGCAAGAGUCGACUGAAGCUGGUGAACAGGAAGGUCAACAUGGCCGUUUCGACCAGCCCCAAGUUCCUUAAAUGGUCUCAAACUACGAUCACCUUUGACCAGUCGGAUCAUCCAGCGCAUGUCCCCACCCCAGGAAGACAGGCUCUGGUCGUCGACCCGGUGGUGGAAGGGGUCCGACUGCGCAAAGUCCUCAUGGACGGCGGCAGCGGGUUGAACAUCGUAUACGCUGACACUCUCAAGGGAAUGGGCAUUCCGAUGUCCAAACUCAGCGAGAGCAGUAUGCAGUUCCACGGAGUCGUCCCUGGACGGAAGGCCAAGUCACUCGGCCAGAUCGCGUUGGACGUCGUUUUCGGCUCCGACAAGAACUUUCGCAAGGAGAAGCUCACAUUUGAGGUGGUGGAUUUCCAGAGCGCUUACCACGCGAUUCUGGGCCGCCCAGCAUAUGUGAGCUUCAUGGCCCGUCCAUGCUAUGUAUACUUGAAGUUGAAGAUGCCAGGCCCAAAAGGCGUGAUCACAUCACGGGCAAUCGUCGGCGAGCCGAAGAGUGUCUGCAGCAGGGAUCAAGAAUCGCCGACCAGCAGAUGGCUGUUCUCGAGCUCGACGAGUACAAGAAGACAGCCGACCCUGCCGACCUGAUGCGCUCAAAGAAACCAGCUUCUGAGUCCGCAUUCCAGUCGGCGGGAGAGAUGAAGAAGGUCAGCAUCCACCCGACGGACGACUCUGCUGCCCCGACGAACAUCUCCACCACCCUCGAUCCUAAAUAGGAAGCCGAGCUCACCCAAUUCCUCCGUGAGAACUGGGACAUCUUCGCAUGGAAACCCUCUGACAUGCCAGGUGUACCCAGGGAGUUGGCUGAGCACCGACUGCAUGUGGAUCCCGCCGCUCGGCCCGUCCGAGAGCGCCUGCGCCGGUCUGCCGCGCACAAGAGGAAGGCAAUCGGGGAAGAGGUGCCAAGCUGCUGGCCGCCAACUUCAUUCGCGAGGUUCACCACUCCGAGUGGCUCGCCAAUGUUGUCAUGGUGCCCAAGAAGGACAAGUCGCUCCGAAUGUGCAUCGACUUCAAGCAUCUCAAUAAGAUCCGUCUGUAUGGUCCCGAUGAGUUAAAAACAGCCUUCAUCACCCCAUUCGGGUGCUUCUGCUACAUCACUAUGCCUUUCGGUCUGAAGAAUGCAGGAGCUACCUUUAUGCGCAUGAUCCAAAAAUGUCUCCUCGACCAGAUCGGUCGGAAUGUGGAGGAAUAUAUGGAUGAUAUCGUAGUCAAGUCACGCAAAGGUUCCGACCUGCUGACAGACUUGGCAGAAACAUUCGCCAACCUUCGUAGAUACGAUAUCAAGUUCAACCCAGCCAAAUGUUCAUUCGGUGUUCCCAGGGGAAAGUUACUCGGUUUCUUCGUUUCCGAACGAGGGAUCGACGUCAACCCCGAAAAGAUCGGGACCAUUGUCCGAAUGGAGAGGCCGGUCAGAAUACACGAUGUUCAACGGCUCACAGGUUGCCUAGCGGCUUUGAGCAGGUUCAUCAGUCGACUCGGCGAGAAAGCACUUCCUCUGUACCGACUCAUGAAGAAAUCAGAUACUUUCGAGUGGACAGACGAAGCCCAAGUCGCUUUCGAUGAUCUCAAAGUCUUACUUUCCACCCAGCCGAUUCUUACUGCUCCGCUCAGUAAAGAGCCCCUUCUUCUGUAUAUCGCGGCUACAAAUCAAGUCGUCGGCAUUGUUCUUACAGUCGAACGAGAAGAAGAAGGCAAAGCAUACAAAGUUCAGCGGCCAGUGUACUACAUCUCCGAAGUCCUGACUCCUUCCAAGCAGAGGUAUCCCCACUAUCAAAAACUUAUCUAUGGGAUUUACAUGACUGCGAAGAAGGUGGCUCAUUAUUUCCAAGACCACUCGGUGUCUGUCGUUUCUGAUGCUCCGUUGUCGGAAAUUCUCCACAAUCGGGACGCGUCAGGCCGAGUGGCAAAGUGGGCAAUGGAGAUGUUGUACUGCGAUAUCAAGUUCGAGGCCAAGAAAGCUAUUAAGUCUCAAGCCCUGGCUGACUUUAUAGCAGAAUGGGUAGAACAACAGCAACCGACCCACAUCUGCUCGGCUCAUUGGACAAUGUUCUUCAAUGGGUGUAAGAUGUUGAAUGGCUCCGGCGCUGGGGUUGUGAUCAUUUCACCAAAGGGCGACAAGCUCAAGUACGUACUAUAGAUACACUUCGAUUCCUCCAACAACGAGGCAGAGUAUGAAGCUCUCCUCUACAGAUUGCGCAUGGCCAUCUCACUCGGCGUCCGUCGCCUGAUGGUCUACGGCGAUUCAGAUUUGGUGGUCAAUCAAGUGAUGAAAGAGUGGGACAUCAGGAACCCCACCAUGACCACAUACUGCAAUGCAGUAAGGAAGCUGGAGAAGAAGUCUGAAGGUCUAGAGCUCCACCAUGUUCCGAGACUGAAGAACCAGGCAGCUGAUGAGUUGGCAAAACUCGGAUCCACCCGGAGACUAGUCCCGAGUGACGUCUGCCUUGAGCACCUCCACCUUCCAUCAGUCAAAGAAGACCCAUUCACAGAGGAACCAGUGCAACCCAAGAGCACAACAGAUCCGACUGAAGUCGACGUACCUGCUCUGGUUGAUCUGGUCAUGGAGAUCCUCGCUGCCAUCCCCGAGUGGACUGUGCCGAUCAUUGCAUAUAUUCUGAGACAGGAACUACCAGAAGACGAAGCUCAGACCAGGCAGAUAGUCUGCAGGUCAAAGGCAUUCACUGUCAUUGAUGGCCAAUUGUACAAGGAGAGCGUUUCAGGCGUUCUUCAACGCUGCAUUUCCCCAGAGGAGGGGCAGUUGAUCCUGGAAGAGAUUCACUCGGGAACCUGCGGUCAUCACGCUUCUUCAAGAGCAAUCGUCGCCAAAGCAUUCAGGGCUGGUUUUUUCUGGCUGCAGGCGAAUGAGAUGGCUAAAGACAUGGUCGACCGAUGCGAGGGAUGUCAGUUCUACUCCAACAAGUCCCACAAGCCAACUUCUGCAUUGAAGACUAUCCCGCUUGUGUGGCCGUUUGCAGUUUGGGGAUUAGAUACAGUCGGUCCCUUCAAGACAGGUCAAGGAGGCUACACUCAUCUGUUGGUGGCAGUCGACAAGUUCACAAAAUGGAUAGAAGCCAAGCCCAUCAAGAAACUCGACGCCUCAAGAGCCAUCAAGUUUGUUAGGGAAAUCAUCUCCAGAUUCGGUGUACCUCACAGCAUAAUCACGGAUAACGGGACAAACUUUGACUCGGACAGAUUCAAAGGUUUUUGUGCAAGCCAAGGUAUCCGAGUGGAUUUUGCUUCCGUAGCACAUCCUCAAUCCAAUGGACAAGCAGAGCGGGCAAAUGGACUUAUUCUUCAGGGUUUAAAGCCCCGACUUCUGCGAGAGGUGGGACAUGCCGCUAGCGCUUGGGUCACCGAGUUACCUUCAGUAUUUUGGGGUCUUCGCACAACCCCGAACAGAUCUACAGGGUGAUCGCCGUUUUUCCUCAUUUACGGAGCAGAAGCGGUCCUUUCGAGUGACUUGCUUCAUAAUGCUCCACGAGUCGAACUCUUCUCCGAAGCUGAAGCAGAACAAGCAAGGCAAGAUGGAGUGGACCUUCUAGAGGAGGAGCGCGAGAUGGCACUGACUCGCUCAACCAUUUAUCAACAAGAUCUACGGCGUUUUCAUGCACGCCACGUCAGGAGUCGCACGUUCCAAGCAGGCGACCUGGUGCUCCGAGUGGAUCAGCAAAGACCUCACAAGUUGGCCCCGGCCUGGGAAGGACCCUUCAUCAUUUCCAAUGUGCUGAAAAACAGAGCAUACAGACUCUACAACAUCGAGAGGGAGACAGACGAGCCACGCGCAUGGAAUGGAGACCUCUUGAAGCGCUUCUACACGUGAUCGUCGACUGAAGCAGUGUAAAGAACUAGCAUUGAUGGAAUAAUAUAAAGCGGAUUCAGUUUUUGCAGUCUCAGAAUUUUUCCACAGUUGCAAACUAUGGUCACAAAAAAAACUUAGCUGUGAUCAAGAAUCACCUAAGUACUAACUUUCUAUGAGUGUGCACUAAACGUCGCACUCGGGGACUUAGAUGUGAUCAAGAAUCACCUAAGUACUAACUUCCUUCGAGUGUGCACUAAAGUCGCACACGGGGACUUAGCUGUGAUCAAGAAUCACCUAAGUACUAACUUUCUACGAGUGUGCACUAAAUGUCGCACUCGGGGACUUAGCUGUGAUCAAGAAUCACCUAAGUACUAACUUCCUCCGAGUGUGCACUAAAAGUCACACUCGGGGACUUAGCUGUGAUCAAGAAUCACCUAAGUACUAACUUUCUUCGAGUGCGCACUAAUCGUCGCACUCGGGGACUUAGCUGUGAUUACGAAUCACCUAAGUACUAGCUUUCUCCGAGUGCGCGCUAAUCGUCGCACUCGGGGACUUAGCUGUGAUCAAGAAUCACCUAAGUACUAACUUUCUCCGAGUGUGCGCUAAUCGUCGCACUCGGGGACUUAGUUGUGAUCACAAAUCACCUAAGUAUUAACUUUCUCCGAGUGCGCGCUACUCGUCGCACUCGGGGACUUAGCUGUGAUCACGAAUCACCUAAGUUAAAACUUUCUCCGAGUGUGCACUAAACGUCGCACUCGGGACUUUGCUGUGAUCCAGAGUCACCUAAGUAAUCACUUUCCCCGAAGUGUGCACUAAACGUCGCACUCGAAACAACAUUCAAACACAAGAGUAAACACUUUGGUUCGGAUUCCAAAAUCCUUGCAAUGAUAGUUAACUCGGUGCGGAUCAAGAUUACCCGCACCGAUUUAAGAAUGUGACGGCCAACAGAAGUGGCCAAAGUACCUUACAGAUAAACACUCGGCAUACCGAGGAUAAAGUUUUAUUACGCGUCAGCUGGGUCAGCGCCAGGACUGGAGGGCUCCACGAAGGUGUCCAAGUCGAUUCCGUCGGCGAUGCAGGUAGCACUCUCAAGGAACGUCUCCAUGAAGUCUUCGAAUCGAAGCUUCUUCGUGUUGGCGACCUUCAGUGUCUUCAGCUUCUCUUCCCGCAUCUCCUUGCAAUGGACUCGGACCAAGGACAGGGCAACAUCUGCACCGCAACGCGCUGCCGAUUUCUUCCACGAUUGCACGCGGUUCGGAAUCUCCUCCAGUCGCGCCAUUAGGCUCUCCAUCUCCUGCCGCGACUCAUCUUCUGGCUAAAGUUCCUUGUCAAUUCGGCCGACGACCUCUCUCAGUCAACCGAUGAAAGGACCCACUUUGCCUACGCGGAUAUGCGCCCGGAGCAGAUCCCGAUUGGCGUCCUCGCUGAGUGGCACGUUGUCGCGCAUGGACCGUUCCACGUCCGCUGCUUCAGCUUCAGCAUCAAUGCAAAAGUCUGCAACAAAAGGGCAAGCAUACAAUAAACAUCGAGUGUAACGCACACGGUACAAGCACUCAGCAUAACAUACGACUUACCAGCCAGAUGCGUCAUCAUCUGCCCAGCCCAGUCGUUGACAUACUUCUCCUGAGCUAUGCAUCGUCUAUUUAGGACGGCCAUCUGAUUAUUGAGAGCAGUCCUCUGUUUCUUCAUUCUUUCCACCUCCUCAGUCAACACCUUGUUCGCCUCCCGAGCCUCCUCCAAGGACUUCUCUCGUCCCUCCAGAGCAUCCUUCAUGCCGGCCAUGGCGAGCAUAGCCGCAUCAAGCUCACCAGCGAAUUGGUUCCUCUCCGCUCUGAGCGCCUCAUAGGCCGUCCCCAUUGCACAAGUUUUCUGCCACCAAGCACCAAGGGACAAUCAGAAAGUUCAACGGUUAAAGGUCUAAGUUCUUUAGACCCCUGCCGACGCAAGCAGUCGACAGCGGUCUCGGGGACUACACCCAGUGGGUUCACUCAGAGUGACCCCACUGGCAUGCAGCUCAAGCAGGCAUGCCCUAUUGAGAUGCAUGUCAUAACUUACGCCUACGAGGCCAAUACUACCCGACCUGAGUACAACUUACUCUCGGAGACUCUUACAGUAAAUGCAAUCCCACUGCAACAACUACUCGUACUCAGUCAUACUAUUUACAGACACAACCAAAGUAAAGGCAAUAUGUAUAAAGACAACUGUCGGUGCAAGCACUCGACAGAAGUCUCGGGGACUACACCCACUGGGUUCACUCGGAGUGAACCCAUUCCAAAAGACAGCUGUUAUUCAAGACCACCCAGUGGGUUACAAGAGAAAAGUAAUUACUUACUAGACCACUUACUCGGAUGUCAUCUCGCAGCUCCAAGCUCCGCUGGUACAAGGACGCAACGGAGUCGUAGGCCCUCUUGACUUCUCCAGCCAUCAGCUCCGCCUGCACCAUAGCCCCCUUGGCCGCUCCCACCUGCUCCUCCGGAAGACGUUGAAUGCUGAAUGCAGCAGCCGACGAGCCUGGAAUCGUCGGAGGUUCCUGAGGCAUCCCAAGGUCCGCCCCAGUCGGCUCCUCAUCCACCAGCACCGGUUCAGUCUGUGGCAGCGCCUCAGUCGGCAGGACGUCGGCGGCGAGAGCGGCAGCAGGAGGAGCAACCUCAAGAGCAGGCUCCACAGCUGGGUCGGCUCUCCCCUGGUCGUCCUCGUCCAGGCAGAUCGCCCCUGACAGGCCGAACGACACGAAGUCUCAGAAAAAGAAAGAAGCAGGACCUAUGAUAGAAUUUGAGACGCGAUGGGAUAAAACACUCGACGCUCCUACAACGCACCUGGCUGAGACGAAACGACGUUGUCUGUGUCCAUGGGAUUGUCUCCUUGGCGCGCCGGAGAGGUGGCAGAGGUAGUGACCCUGUCGAGUGAAAUCCAUUCGGCCGGUAAACAGAAGUUCAUUCGGAUAUCAGAAAUAAUUGAAAGUUGGAUACACUUACGUGGAGGUGACGGGGACGGCAACCCUCAUUCGCGGCAGAGCCUUUCGAGGUUUAGGGCCACUCGGCUUGGGCGCCUUAGAAGAUUGGCCCGCGGGCUCAGCAGCGGCAUCCGUGGUCCUCUUAGUGCUUCGAACACUCGGGACCACUGGAGCAGUAGGCGGAGCACUCGAAGACGCGGGAGGAGCCGAGGGGACGACGGGCUCGUAUCGGCGCUUGGUCCGAUGCUCUAGUUGCGGAGGUGGCGAGUCCUGCUCCUCGUCUUCUUCCUCUUCCUCGCUGCUCUCCUCCUCCGAUUCCCCGCUGUCGGAGACGUACUCGGCGCUCUCCACACUGCCCUCCUGGCUGCCUUCCUCCUCUUCCUCCGCCGGAUUCCCAUUCGAGACGGGGGAGAACCAGUUGGUCCACGCCUGCAUAAAUUUCAGUCGGAAACAUCAGACAUCACACGGAGGUAUAGACAAACGACAGGAAUUAAGACAGUUCAGUGCACUCGACAAGUGCCACUCACCUCAUUCGGUGGAGGAUGGUCCGCGCUGUAAGGCUUCACUCGCCGAGCUCCUUUGGGAUUCUCGCAGGGGGCCGUGAUUUGGAGCACCCACGAGGUCACCCUCUCCUCAGUCAUGCCCACCACGUUGGUCCGAGUGGAGUCUUCGGGCCCCGUCUAAUGCCACAUGGCAUCGUCGCGAGCCUGCAGAGGCUGGAUCCGCCGACCAAGGAAGACUUCCAGCAAGUCUAUGCCGGUGACCCCCCUCCUGACGACGUCCACGAGUGCCUCAACCAAGGGCGAGAUGUCGUUCUUCUCCGCCUUCGAGAGCGCGAGCUGCUUAGGCGGGGCGGGCCGAUCUAGACUAAAAGGAGGCAGCCUAGUCGACGCAUUCGGACACGCGAUAUCCUGGCAGUAGAACCACGUCGACUGCCAGUUCCUAACCGACUCACUUAACUGGAGAGCAGGAUAGCUACUCCGACUCUUUUUCUGGAAACCUAAGCCCCCGCAGAGCUGGAGGAGAUGCGUCUUAUCAUCCGACUGGCUAAGUCGUUUGAUGGUUUGGGAUCUAGCGGAAAAGAUGUGUUUGAACAAACCCCCAUGGGGGGGGCAGCCGAUGAAACACUCGCACAAAACUAUAAAGGCAGAAAGAUGGGCGAUGGCAUUCGGAGGAAAAUGGUGAAGUUGGGCCCCGAAGUGAUUCAUGAUGCCUUUGAAGAAAGGAUGCGGGGGCAAAGAAAAACCUCGGUGGACGUGGCUGAGCAGCAGGACGCGUUCCCCCUCCCGAGGCGCUGGCUCGACCUCGUUCUCCGCCGGCAGCCUCCAGGACUUGUGCACGAUCAUACCGUGCUCCACCAGCUGCAGCAGAUCCCCCUCCGUCACCGUGGAGGGGAGGAAGUCGCCCUGGAUCCAUCCCGUUGGCAGCGGCCGCUGCCGCCGCUGAGCAGGCGCCGCCGUCUUCCCCUUCUUCUUCCUCGCCUCCAUCUUGCUGGUCUGGCCCUAGGUCAUGGCGGCGGUUGCGAGCCCUCGGGAGGAAGGAGAAGGGAGGAGUAUAGGAGUGCUGGAGGUGGCAAGGAAGGCGGAGCAGGCGAGAGCAAGGGAUUCGGUGAGAGUAACGGAGAAGCCUCGCCGCCGAGAUUUAAAUAGGGUUCCGACUGGGUCGCUGGCAGGUGGCCCCGAAACCUUAUCCCCCCGACCCACCGCGGCGAUAUUAGUGGAGAGGUUGAAGGCGCGAGAAUCGAGGCGUCAGGCGCUACUCGAGCGCGCUGGCGUCAUCCCCGUUGGGCGCGUGGAAACCGAAAUUUGAGGAUCUCGGAAAAUCCACCGCUGUCAGUUGACCGGUCGCGUCAGAAGAUGCCGCCGAAGCACUCGGCUCCCGACAGUCUGUUCCGCGAGUACUUCCACUCGGAUCGACGAUCAGAAAAGUCAAAAUGGACCGAGGCAAGCAACGGCCAAGCCGAAUCUGUUCCAGUCGGAUUCAACUUCAAACAUCGCUUCGUCGUUCCAACCUCAAUCCAUUCGGGGACUAAUGAUGGGGUUAUAGUCCUNNNNNNNNNNNNNNNNNNNNNNNNNNNNNNNNNNNNNNNNNNNNNNNNNNNNNNNNNNNNNNNNNNNNNNNNNNNNNNNNNNNNNNNNNNNNNNNNNNNNNNNNNNNNNNNNNNNNNNNNNNNNNNNNNNNNNNNNNNNNNNNNNNNNNNNNNNNNNNNNNNNNNNNNNNNNNNNNNNNNNNNNNNNCGACAACAAAGCUCCCUGAGCACUGAGACGUAGGGCUAUUACCUCCACCGCAGAAGGGCCUGAACUCAUACAUCCUCGCCGUAGUUAGGACUCUGUCCGUCCUUUUCGUACCCCAUACAUCUACUGUCAGGCUUAUACCCACGACAAAUGUUGAGUGUUAGUUAUUUGGUUUUAUGAUGAUCAUGAGUUGGCUUAUACUUCCUCCGUUCCUAAAUAUAAUACAUUUUAGAGAUUUCACUAUAGACUACAUACGGAACAAAAUGAGUGAAUCUACACUCUAAUAUAUGUCUAUAUAUAUCAGUAUGUAGUCCAUAGUAAAAUCUUUAAAAGGUCUUAUACUUAGGAACGAAGGGAGUACAUCUGUAUGUAUGUUAAGAUAACUUGUUUUGCUCCUACAGUUCCUCUUUGCCAAACCAAAUUAGUAGUAGUUUUUCUUGAAUAGAAUCUUGUGGAGGGAAAAUCAAGCGAGGGAAAAUAAAUAACUAAAACUCGGUCUCGCUGAAUUAGUUUGCUCAAAAAGACACAGCGACAGAGAUAGAGAGAGAGACAUGUAUGUACACCUCUAAAACUAGCGAACAAAGCAUAUGUACAAUUAAUUGGUAAAUUCUCCCUCUGUAUCCAAAUAUAAGCCAUUUUUUGGUCUAGACUCUUAUAUUUGGAUACAGAGGGAGUACCGGUUAGCAACAGAAACCUGGCUGCUAUCAUGUUUCUCCUGCAACUAUUCGUAUGCAAAUGUUGUGGGAAUACUUCUAUUUUAAUGCAGAUUACAACUGAACACUACCAACAGUACACCAAAUAACAGCAAAGAAACAUUUAUUGCAUAACCAUGGGCAGAACUAAAUGAAAGAUGCACUGGACUAGACAUAAAACUCCACUAAAAAAUUGAUAAAUCUUAACUUUUACAGGCUGCAUACAAACAGGAAUUUGGCUGAAUGCUUAGCCAGCUCUGCGGCUGAACCUAGCUUUCUAGAUAACCAAAGUUUCAGUAACAUACAAGAACAUAAGAGUGGUUCGCCUUCAACUAUUUUCAGAUAGCGCGAGGUAAAAUCAAGCUGAACUCAACAGCAGUGGCGCCGCCUCCCCGUGACCGUGAGAGUGCAGUUGUGAUCUGCAAUAGCACGUCGGGUAGUGCAGGGCCAAGAAAUGAAUAGCGAAGGUAAAGGUUGCAGGCUGAACUCUUGGAGCCAUUACUGUUACAGAGUAGUGCCGAGAACUGAGGAAGACAGAACUGUACGAGAGCAAGAAGCUUUCGUCAAUCAAAUGCUUUGAUUCCUUCCCCUCUGUCACCUGACCUGCAAACUAAAGAGAAAGCUCACAACGGUAAAUUCUUUGCCAUAUCUUUACCUACACGAGGAAAAAUAGUUGAACCUUCAAUGAAGUAAAGCAGAAAGACAAUCAUACCGGAAAUACUUCUUUCGCCUGCAUGCAACAAGCUCCAACAGUCCAACUCACAGCAGCAUAGAGUAUAGGAGACUUCAGCAUGAGCACUAAAAAUUAGAAGUAUAUCCACCGGUGCAUAUGUACCAGAUCAGUGAGAAGGGCAGUGCUCUAAAUGCAUUCAUAUGAAGGAAAGUGACUGUUCCAGAGAGAUUACAAAAUCUCAGGUGGCUGCUAGAGAAAGAUUGUAUACCCUUACAAUCGCCAUCAGAAAUCAUUACCCCUAAAAUUCCAACUAGUUUGUGUUAGACUACUAUCUGAGGAGUUAAUAUCAAGAGCAAAGUCAACUACAUCCAUCAAAAAAUUGAUACUUUGCAGGGAGCAAAGUCAUAUCCUCAUGAUAUUUCCCUUUCCUUGAAAACAGAGACAGCAUCAGUGAAGUAGUUGAAGCUUCAAGUAAGAUCCUCUUCCCAUCAACUUUAGACAAAUAAUUUCCAGCCUUGGCAAUCUCACCAUUGUCCAACAGCAAUCUGAUGAUACCAUUUAUAAGACGGGAGCUGGGGACUAUACCACUUUUCUCCAUUGAUGAAAACAUAUUGUUAGCAUCUUCCACUGCCCCAUCUUUUAGAAGAUUUUUUAUCAUUACUCCGUAAGUAGACUCAUUAGGCAGCAACCCACUGUCUGAUAUUGCAGCGAACAACUCCUUAGCUUCUUCUUUUCUUUGAACCUUGUACAUUGCAUUAAUCAUGGUAUUGAGUAUUGUAAUACUGAACUUUACAUUCAUUGCUCCUAAUUUCUGGAACAGGACAAUCGCUUCGUCUGCACAAUUAUUUCUACAAAGACCUCCAAGUAUUAUACCGUAUGUGGAAAUGGUCACUGUUGUUCCACUUUCGAUCAUCUCAUGGAACUUUUUCCUUGCAGCAACAGUUCGCCCGGAACGGA